rnacentral:rRNA from 1 species
UACGUAGGGUGCAAGCGUUGUCCGGAAUUAUUGGGCGUAAAGAGCUCGUAGGCGGUUUGUUGCGUCGGCUGUGAAAUCCCGAGGCUCAACCUCGGGUCUGCAGUCGAUACGAGCAAACUAGAGUGUUGCAGGGGAGACUGGAAUUCCUGGUGUAGCGGUGAAAUGCGCAGAUAUCAGGAGGAACACCGGUGGCGAAGGCGGGUCUCUGGGCCUUACCUGACGCUGGAGGAGCGAAAAGCCGUGGGGAGCGAACAGG